GAAGGUCGGAGUCGUGGCGUGACGAGAGCGUUCACUCUCUGGACGAUCAAGGAGGUCCCUCGAGCCCCGGUGAGGCCCAGAGGGACGACAGCGCAACCAGCGGCCAAGCACCGACACAUCCGGGCUCUUCGAAGCGGAACCCCAAGCGGACCAACCGGCCCCUGGGUAUAGCCCAGACAACGCCGUCGUCGCACACGGGAAGGCCUCGCAAGUUUCAUGACCUCUGGGUCAAGCUGGACGGCUUCACCACGUGGCGUUCCCUGCUGCAGCAUCGGCCCACAGCUCCACAUGACGGGCUGGCAGUACAGCAGUCUCUCAAGUCUUGGCAGCGAAGUUCGGCCACGUUGGGCUACGCCGCCU